rnacentral:rRNA from 2 species
UGGGGAAUAUUGCGCAAUGGGGGAAACCCUGACGCAGCAACGCCGCGUGAAGGAUGAAGGUUUUCGGAUUGUAAACUUCUUUGAUGAGGGACGAACACAAUGACGGUACCUCAAAAACAAGCCACGGCUAACUACGUGCCAGCAGCCGCGGUAAUACGUAGGUGGCGAGCGUUGUCCGGAAUUACUGGGUGUAAAGGGCGUGUAGGCGGAAACUUAAGUCAGAUGUGAAAUUCCCGGGCUCAACUCGGGCGCUGCAUUUGAAACUGAGCUUCUUGAGUGAUGGAGAGGAAAGCGGAAUUCCUAGUGUAGCGGUGAAAUGCGUAGAUAUUAGGAGGAACACCAGUGGCGAAGGCGGCUUUCUGGACAUUAACUGACGCUGAGGCGCGAAAGCGUGGGGAGCAAACAGG